GGGGAUAACGCAUCGAAAGAGGCGCUAAUACCGCAUAAUCUCUGAGGAGAAAAGCAGGGGAUCGCAAGACCUUGCGCUUUUGGAGCGGCCGAUGUCUGAUUAGCUAGUUGGUGAGGUAAAGGCUUACCAAGGCUUCGAUCAGUAGCUGGUCUGAGAGGACGACCAGCCACACUGGGACUGAGACACGGCCCAGACUCCUACGGGAGGCAGCAGUGGGGAAUUUUGGACAAUGGGGGAAACCCUGAUCCAGCCAUGCCGCGUGAGUGAAGAAGGCCUUCGGGUUGUAAAGCUCUUUCAGCCGGAACGAAAAGGUUACGGUUAAUACCCGUGACUAAUGACGGUAC
rnacentral:rRNA from 1 species